rnacentral:rRNA from 1 species
CAGUAGCCGCGGUAAAACGUUGGGGGCGAGCGUUGUCCGAAGUUACUGGGCGUAAAGAGCGCGUAGGCUGGUCUUUAAGUGAGUGGUGAAAGGUUCGGGCUCAACCCGGACACUGCCUUUCAUACUGGGGACCUUGAGUGUGGGAGAGGCGAGUGGAAUGGUCGGUGUAGCGGUGAAAUGCGUAGAUAUCGAUCGGAACACCCAUGGCGAAGGCAGCUCGCUGGCCUAACACUGACGCUGAGGCGCGAAAGCGUGGGGAGCAAACAGGAUUAGAUACCCCCGUAGUCCCUGUCUCUUAUAC